rnacentral:tRNA from 1 species
GGUUAAGGCUCAGUGGUAGAGCGCUUGUCUGGUUUGUGAGAGGCACUGGGUUCAAUCCUCAGCACCA